rnacentral:lncRNA from 1 species
AUGGCAUGCAUGAAUUAGAAAGGAAAAAUAGUAGAUGGAUGGUUAGGGGUGCUUAGAGGGACAUGUAAGGUUUUGGAAAGAAUGUAGAGGGAAAUGGGAAAAAACAGUAGAGUUAGGUUGAAUUAGGUCUAAGAUAGCUUAAGAGUUGUGUUUAAAAACAAAAUGAAUCAAAUGCAUAAUAAAACUUAGCUCACUAAGUUGUCUAGUCUAAAUCAAGUCCAUCUAAUUUCCUUGGAGGGAUAUUUGUAUUGUUAUUGGUUGGGUCAUUAGAGAAUUAAGUUUUUGAAAUUGCAUGUGUUGGGUUGAGAUUUUAGGAGUCAAAAUGAUCAUUCCCAUACCCUCCCGUGUCAUGUGGUAUUAGAGCUGUAAUUUCAAUAUUU